rnacentral:rRNA from 1 species
GUCUAUGGCCAUGCCACCCUGAAUGUGCCCGAUCUCGUCUGAUCUCGGAAGCUAAGCAGGGUCGGGCCUGGUUAGUUCUUGGGUGGGAGACCACCUUGGAAUACCAGGUGCUAUAGGUG